GACAGGUUCUACAUUGUAUAUUGUAUUGCAGUAGUAAGAUAUGGCUCUUUUAUGAUGUGAUCUUUCUGAAAGGGUCAUGACUCAUAGAUUUAUGAAAUAAAGGUAUAACUUGGCGAAUAAUUGAAGAAUUUCCAUUGAAGACGAAGCAAAGUAUGUGCAGGUUAUGGGGCUUGAGUUGGAAAAUGGGUAAAUGAGUUCCAAG
rnacentral:misc_RNA from 1 species